CAGGGGCAUCUUAAUCUUCUCUCCCCGAGCGAGCCGCACGGAAAAAAACAGAGCAUCUUCUCUCUCCGCGCGUGAUCGACCUCUGCGGCGAGGAGCUGCCGCCCUCGACCUCUCCAAGUCCGCAGGAAGAAGAUGAAAAUAUGACAGAUGCGGCACUUCAGGAAGAUCUCCAACUCCCUCUUCUUGGUUCUGUUUUGCCGUUGAGAUUAACAGAACAGGGGAGUUCCCUGCUGACCCGCGCGUCUCCACAACGGCCGAGCGAGAGAAGGGAGCGCUUGCUUGCUGCUACAUCCCUCCCGAUUGGCGAGUGGCCUGAAUGUUGUAAGUGGGAGUUGAAAGGUGCAUAUAUGGAUCCUGCUGAGAUUCCGAGAGGGGUCGAUCCCUUUCCCAAGACAACAUCUAUGGAUGGCAAGAUGCGGAGGCAUUCCAAAUCCGCACAGCCGUUGCAGGCAGCGGACGCCGUAUCCAAGGUGCUCGACGAUGAUGACCUUCUCAUCGAGAUCAUUGUUUGACUCGGCCUGCCCACCACCCUCAUCCACGCCAUCCUUGUCUGCAAGCGCUGGUUCUUCAUUGUAUCCGAUAAGGCCUUUCUCCGCCGCUUCCGCAGCCUCCACCCACCCCGUCUCCUCGGCUUCUAUGUCUCCACCAGGUCAACUGACGAGCUCUCACCGGUCCUGCUCCGCCCGCGCUUUGUCCCAAUGCUGCCUCAGCCCCUGGAGCUUGCCACUGCUGUCUGCCUGGCUGAGAACUACAGUCUGGAGGCGUACGAUGAAGAACUUGCAUGCAUUCUUGACUGCCAGAACGACACCAUCCUUCUCCAUGGCUUCCAAGGCAAGAAAAUCUUGUGGGGAGUGCACUGGCCGCUCUGCCCAGAGAGAGGCGUUGUUGAACCGCCGAUGGCCCCAUAUGACCAAUUCGACGACGCUUCAGCUGCAGGCACUUGCGCCAACUUCCUCUUGAAGGAAGAAGGUGACGGGAAGAGCCUCACCUUCAUAUGGUUGUCAAUGGCUUAUCUCAUAGAGGGAAAAAAUAUUCUAUAAAAUACAAGGCGAACAUAUAUGCGCUGCAAGAUGGUCUUUGGCACUGGCGUUCCUCAGCAGCGGCUGUGCUCCCUUCUCCGCGAUCGGAUCUAAAUCCUUUGCUGUCUGGCAAUAAGAUCUAUAUGGAGCACUCCACGAGCAUUGCUGCAUUGAAUUUGACAACCUCAAACUUCUCCUCUAUUCCGCUCCCGAAAGGAAUCGAGCGGUACGUUUGUGAAGAUAUGAUGAUGUCACGGGCCAGUGAUUCAGGGAUUUAUCUCAUACAUCUUGAGAAACUGCAGCUUCGCAUCUGGCUCCAUAGGGGGGACAACAGCGGCAGCAUGAGAAACUGGUUGCUUUUGGAUAACAUUUGCUUGCGUGAGAUGUUGGAUGAUCUGGGGAUGGCAGGUGGUGAGCAGCCUACUCUUUUAAACACAAGCGAAACGGGGGAUAAUCUCCGGUUUGUGUUCUUGAAAAUGGGCCAAUGUGCACUUUACUUGGAUAUUAAACAUAGGGAGCUGCGUAAGGUGUAUGAGGUGACAGAAGAUGACCGAACUUUAGAAUGGAUUUAUCCUUUUAUGAUGACAUGGCCACCCACAUUCCCUGUGCUCAAGAUUUAUCCUGCAAGUCCUAAGAGAACUGUCAUACGAAGAACAAGGACAUUAUGAAGAGUUGUAUGGCCAGAAUGAUGCUGAAAAUAAGGGCACCCGGCAUCAAGGAAGAAUAAGGGCGUUAUGAACAAUGUUGUAGUACCGCCAGGACCUGUUUUCGACCUGUUAUUGCUACCUUCUUUAGAAAAUGGUAAAUCAAAAGGACUCGCCAUGAAAUAGUUAUCUAGAGAUUGAAAGGGAUUAGU